GCUCGGACACUCUUCAAAACUUUCUCUUCUCUUCUUAAUCCGCCUCCACCUCCUCCUCAAUCGACUCUUACAGCUGACGACUUUGCAGUUUUCUUCACAAAUAAGACAAGAACCAUCAGUGACCAAUUCUCCACACCGCAGACUGAGGAUAACUUCACAACGACUAAUGCACACUCUCUCUCCUCCUUCUCUCCACUCUCAGAGACGGAUGUUUCCAAACUUAUCCUGUCCAGUCAUCCUACUACUUGUCCACUUGAUCCGAUCCCCACUCACCUCCAAGCAAUUUCUUCUUCAGUAAUACCUUCACUUACUCACAUUAUCAACUCCUCUCCUCACUCUGGAACAUUUCCCUCAGCAUUUAAGCAGGCUCGGGUAAAGGCCAAUUUAUACUUCUGCGUCGGGUGCGCGUAGUAGGUACGGCGUAGCAUACGCAUUGACGUGUACCAUACGUCGUACCCUUCGCCGUACCCUGACGCGCACCUCCUCAAAAAUGUAACUACGCGUCGCGACGACGCGGACUGCAAGAUCUGUGAUUGGUCGGCUUGGUAAUAUCACGUUUCCUCCUACGCAUUUCCGGAAUGAUCUUCUGCACUCUGGACCGCCCGCCAUUUUUAAAUUCCGAAAUUCAGUGAAGAGCCAACAUGGAAAUGGACCAAGUAACCGAGCGAUUGAUUGAAGAAGUGAGGAAAUACAGCCAUCUGUAUGACUCCUCUUUGGGAGAUUACAAAGUCUGCCAGAUGGCAGUGAAUUCGUGGGGGGGGGUUUCCUCCAACGUCGGUUUAGAUGUAGCGGAGUGCAUGAAGAGAUGGAAGAACUCUCGAGACAAGUACGUUCGUCUCCGUAAAAAACUCGCCACAAGGAGCGGGGAUCCAGGAGGAAAAAAAAUCCCAGCGUUUUAUUUAUUCCUAUCUUGGCUGGCACCUCAUGUCAAACAUCGGCUUACGGAGUCAAACUUUGACGAUAAGGAUGGGACUGAUACCAGCUCAAACUCCACUGGUUUAUCGGAUGUGAGACCUCCAGCCAACAGCGAUGAUGACCAAUUACCAAGUGGUAGCCCCCAUCACCAGUCAUGUCUUCCAUCCCCGCAGCCAUCUCUUCCAUCCCCAUCUCUUCCGUCCCCGCAGUCAUGUCUUCCAUCCCCAUCUCUUCCGUCCCCGCAGCCAUCUCUUCCAUCCCCAUCUCUUCCGUCCCCGCAGUCAUGUCUUCCGUCCCCCAGUCCAAGAAUGGCACAAAAAAGGAAGAGAAAAGAAAAAGAUGACUGGGUCCAAGUGCAGGUUGCUCGGUUGGAGGCUCAGUUGGAGGAACGGCGGGUGGAGCUGCAACAGAGACUGUGUCAAGGCAAUGAUGAGAGCGACCGGUUUGGACAAACUGUUGCAGAUAUGCUGCGGAGGGUGCCGGAGGACCACAGAGCGCAGGCAAUGUUCGACGUGUCGAAGAUACUUUUUGAGUGGCAGCAAAAAAAACACUGUUGCCGCAGGUUGUUUUUCAUGUCCGCGGGUUGA
ensembl:lncRNA